rnacentral:misc_RNA from 1 species
AGCAGCCGCGGUAAUUCCAGCUCCAAUAGCGUAUAUUAAAGUUGUUGCAGUUAAAAGCUCGUAGUUGAAUUUCGGGGUUAGUAGAUUGGUCGUGCCACUGGUAUGUACUGGUCUUACUGAUUCCUCCUUCCUGAUGAACCGUAAUGCCAUUAAUUUGGUGUUGCGGGGAGACUGGACUGUUACUUUGAAAAAUUAGAGUGUUUAAAGCAGGCUAACGCUUGAAUACAUUAGCAUGGAAUAAUGAAAUAGGACGUUCGAUCCUAUUUUGUUGGUUUCUAGGAUUGACGUAAUGAUUAAUAGGGAUAGUUGGGGGCAUUAGUAUUCAAUUGUCAGAGGUGAGAUUCUUGGAUUUAUUGAAGACUAACUACUGCGAAAGCAUUUGCCAAGGAUGUUUUCAUUAAUCAAGAACGAAAGUUAGGGAUCGAAGACGAUCAGAUACCGUCGUAGUCUUAACCAUAAACUAUGCCGACUAGAGAUCGGAUGAUGUUAAUUUUUAAUGACUCAUUCGGCGUCCG